rnacentral:rRNA from 1 species
GGAUCAAUGCGUCGGUCGUGCCUUCGGUACGUACUGGCGUCAUCGAUUCCUCCCUUCUGAAGAACCGUGAUGUCAUUAAUUUGAUGUCGUGGAGAAUCAGGACUGUUACUUUGAAAAAAUUAGAGUGUUUAAAGCAGGCAUUAGCUUGAAUACAUUAGCAUGGAAUAAUGAAAUAGGACGUUUGAUCCUAUUUUGUUGGUUUCUAGGAUUGACGUA